CAGACAUGUUAAUUAGAAAAUUUAUUUAUUAAGUCUGGUCUUUGCAAAAAUGAUAAAUUCUUAAAAUCUCACAUGGAAAGAAAGUCAUCCAGCUGUUUUGGUUUUCAACUAUUCAAUUAACUACAUUGAUGGACGUAGGUCUGCUACAUUUCAUAGGGAAAAGGCAGUGUGAGAUUUUAACCGAAGCAGGGAGAAUCUAUAGAUAGAAAAAAUGUAGGUAGAUAAAGCGUAGAAUAAACUAUAAAUUUCAGCAAACGUUAGUCACCAAAUAGCAGGCAAUUAAAUUAUUUCUUUAAUCCUCCCACAUUCGCCCUAUCCCUCCAGCCUCCCUUGUUAAAUUUCCUCCGUUUUUGAGGCAGAAUCGAACAACUAGAAAUACUUUGUGAGCACAAUCAUCCAGUUUCAAUUUCAUCGUUCUUUGUGCAUUGAAGCUGGACAAUAUGAUCCACUAGAUCCUAAAAAGCCGUUACACAACUGUGAUAUCUACAGAAGCAAAGCCGCUGGUUCUAAACUGGCGUAAGUUUGAACAACAACAACUGAAUCAACUCACAUCCAAAAUUGGAGAAAAGAGAUGGGUAGUAUCGACAGAAUUGUGACUUGUCAAGUAUCAUGACGAAAUUUGGCUGCGCGUUGGAGUCAAUUUCCUGCGAAGGCCCGGCCAACACAGAGCUAAAUCUUAAUCGUGAAAUGCAAUUAUUUUUUAGUGUUUAGCUAUGUUUUAACUUAAACUUUUCCAUGCUUUUCUAAGAGCUCUUAUAAAUAACUUUUUCCAAUUGUAGUUAUACUCCUUUUUCUCUGUAGACAGUGUUCUAUAAAGAAUGCCAGUCUUCUGUUAGACUACCCAAUUGGUAUUUCCAGCGAAAUUCAUAUUCCAAUAUGAAUUUCAUACUCCAAUAUGAAUUUCCUACCACCUGUCAAUGGACUGCACUCAAGUUCACCAUUCAAUAACGACUCUAAGUUUUCCUUAAGAUUUACACUUAAAGUGUCUAGGAAGACGUUCAAAAAUAUUGAGACUAAUCACGGUUGAGCGCCGCCGGGAACUAUCACCUAGGCCAUGCCCGUGCCUGAAAGAAAAAGUCAGGACGUUGAUUCGAACGGAUUCGAAUGCAACGAGCACUAAGUACGGUCACAUUAUUGGAGGAAUGACCGUGUGCUUGGUUCGUGAUUUGGAGUCACAAGUGAUAGCUGCGAGCUGAUAUCACUCGAACCACUGCACCAACCCGACUAAGCGUAUACUUACCUAUCAUACUUACCAUACGAAAUGUGCUUCAUCAAGUCUUUUAUACUGUCUCAUAGAUGAUCGAAAAAAGCUACAGCUCAUUAUGGCGUCAGUUUAGCUUUAAUGCUAAAUUUCGCAAACACGGUGAACUAGAUUGACAAUAAUAAAAAAUGAACUUUA